CAAAACAGGAAAAGAACAAAAAUAAUGGCACACAAGUUUACUUCUAACCAUGGUUUAAUUCGCUGAUUCACGCCAGUAAACGUGGUGCUCAGAUAAGUCGAUCGGCGGCGAAGAAAAAUGAGAAGAUUUAGCCCAUCUAAACAACCCCUAAGUACGCAGCUCGUGGGUGUCCCGAGCAUCAACGUCGGAGGCAGAACGUGAAUGUCGGAGCUGGGAGAGACGAGACGGUGGCCGGCGCUGGGAGAGACGAGACGGCGCGGCGGCGCUGAUGCGGAGACCCGCAUCGAAACUACCGUCCGAUCAAAUCGUGCGGACCAGAUCGUCCCAAGGAAAAGCGUGUUUCCAACUUACGGGCUACAUAGUUCCUCGAGGACUCACAGCCCAUCAGACUUCCAAAAGCAGCCUGCUUUUCAAAGGCCCGUCAAUCCUAAAAGUACUCCCUUCGUUUCACAGUCAGUAAUGUUGUAGCGGCCAUCAGUUGACAUGGUGACUGUCAUGUUUGAUGGAGCUGUCCCAGGUGGCGCUGAAAUACUGGUAAACAAAUAAAAAGGAUGAAUGCAGCAGUCAAACCAAGAGGCAUUUGUAAUGAACGGGGUGGGGAGCUUACCAUUUUGUUCCGAUGAUGGUUGUUUUAUUCAUGGUGAAUAGAUACAGCUUUUAUCAAGGGCAUUUUUGUGUGGUGGUCGUCUUUAGGUAGCAUUUCAAUCAUUUUUCAAAGAAACAGAAUUUCUAAAGCAAAAUUGAUGAGACGGUGUUGGCGUUGAUGAGGUUUCCUUGGCUGACAGCAGUAUGGCAUACAAGUAAGCAUUUAAAGAUGUGUUUGUUAGUUGCUGUUAUAGGUAUUAGGUGUUAUAUGUUUACGUGAUGUUCCCUGAUCAGUCUGCGCGCUGGUUCGAGGUCUUCAGAAAAAGUCCUUGUAAAAAUAGAAAUUCUAGGUUAGUCACUUAUACUGGUGGAUGAUCUGAACUAUGCUAUGUUGUUUUGGCAGUCAGUAAAUUAUGCUCUAUAACCUGCCUGGGAGGCGUCGCUGCUAUCUGAGCUUGUUGUGUCGGUGGGGGCAUGUGCAGUAGGCUGUUUUUGUCGGCCAUAUUGGGCGAAGAAAGUCAUUUUUGCAGCAGAUGAUGUUUUUACGAGUGAAGUGUACCAGCGGUCUCUAAACUUGUGUGCAUAUGUCAUCUAGGUCCCUAAACUCUCAAAAUAUAUUUUUGAGUCCCUGAACUUGUCUGAGGGUGUCAUAUAGGUCCAAUCGGGCUUCGACCGUUUCAUCCACUGACGUGGCAUGUCACGGUGACGCCUACAUGUUGUUAGGGUCAUGUAGAUCACACAUGUCAAUAUCUCUCUAGCAUAUACUGCAUACACAGGCCACUAAUGCAAACCCUUGAUAAACAUU